rnacentral:rRNA from 1 species
GAUGAACGCUGGCGGCGUGCCUAAUACAUGCAAGUAGAACGCUGAAGGAAGGAGCUUGCUCUUUCCGGAUGAGUUGCGAACGGGUGAGUAACGCGUAGGUAACCUGCCUGGUAGCGGGGGAUAACUAUUGGAAACGAUAGCUAAUACCGCAUAACAGUAGAUAUUGCAUGAUAUCUGCUUGAAAGGUGCAAUUGCAUCACUACCAGAUGGACCUGCGUUGUAUUAGCUAGUUGGUGAGGUAACGGCUCACCAAGGCGACGAUACAUAGCCGACCUGAGAGGGUGAUCGGCCACACUGGGACUGAGACACGGCCCAGACUCCUACGGGAGGCAGCAGUAGGGAAUCUUCGGCAAUGGACGGAAGUCUGACCGAGCAACGCCGCGUGAGUGAAGAAGGUUUUCGGAUCGUAAAGCUCUGUUGUAAGAGAAGAACGAGUGUGAGAGUGGAAAGUUCACACUGUGACGGUAUCUUACCAGAAAGGGACGGCUAACUACGUGCCAGCAGCCGCGGUAAUACGUAGGUCCCGAGCGUUAUCCGGAUUUAUUGGGCGUAAAGCGAGCGCAGGCGGUUAGAUAAGUCUGAAGUUAAAGGCUGUGGCUUAACCAUAGUACGCUUUGGAAACCUGUUUAAACUUGAGUGCAAGAGGGGAGAGU